CGGGAACUCGGAGCUCAGAAGGGGCACAGAUACCCAUGGGCAGCCCGUGUGUUCAGAGGCUCCAGGAGCCCAGAGCAGGUGCAGCAAGGAUCACAAAGAUGUGAACCAGAGCUGGCCUGACAGAAUCCCCAGCACCUUAGUGAGGGGAGACGGGGAGGCAUGUUCUGGGCACAGGGGUUUUCAAGAGUGCGUGAGGAGGGAACAUGCAGAGACACCCGCUGUGUGCCUGGGACAUGCCCGGUUCUUGCCCUUCACCUCACUGUGUCCCCAGGACAGUACGAAAAGGGGAUUUCUUUUUAAAAGGAGAUUAAAAGUUGCUAGGAGAGCAGAUCUCAAAUGUUCUCGGCCCAAAGAAGGGGAGGAUGUGAGGCCAUGGAGGGGCUCAUUGGUUUGAUUGUGGGAAUCAUUUCACAGGGUACACACAUAUCAACACAUCAUGUUGUACGCCCUAUAUAGAGCCAAUCUUUAUUUGUCAAACAUAAAUAAAUAAAUAAAUUUUAAAAGCCAAAUAAAAUAGUCAAACUCAUGGAAACAGAGAGUAGGACAGUGGUCAGAGCUUCAAUCCAUGUAGCCGUCUCCUUGCCAAGUUCUGCACCCUGCCCGCUUCGUGGUCCGGACACUCCUCAGCCUCCCGUGCCUCACUUUCCUCUGAGGAACUCAGCUGCAUGAGGUCGGGGGAGUCCACGAGUGCACAGCGCGUGGAAGGCUUCCAGGCCUGCGAGAAGGGUUGGAUGAGCCUGUCCAACAGCAAGCUCCGGAGUGCGCGCCAUCUCCACCCUGUCCCUAGGGGGGAUGCUCGGAGCUGACACAGCCCAACAAACUCAGAGAACCCAGGUCAGCACAGACCAGCUAGGGUCAGGCUGGAGGGGGCACCGUGUCAUUCACAGAAGAGCAACCAUCCUCCUCGGACCAGACCGAGGGCGGCGGCGACAGGUUGGAGAUAGGUCUCUGCCCCGAGAACCGUGUGCGUCCCCGGCAGAGCACCGGCCUCUGCUGUUCCACCACGCAACAGGGAACCGACAGCCGGUGGCGUGAAAGGUUGUGUGUCAACUGUAAUUCGCGCUGCUGCUCACGUUGGUUUCUUUGGAAAAAUGAAAGGCUGUGUCUUAAGACAAAGCAAUCUGUUGUUGGCCCAGCGAUAUUUGUGCUUCCGUUUUGCGCCGCCCCGAGGGACACUGCAGGCCUCCCAAACCAUCUGCAUUUUGUAAUUAGCGCCUCUGGCCGGCACAGCACAGCUUGCGGGGUCGGAGGCCGAGACCGGGGUCAGCAUCCUGCUAAGGCCGCGAGGACCCCCCGGAGGAGGAGGAGGAGGAGAAAGAGGAGGCCGCGACGGCGGCGGAGGAGGAGUUGGAGGAGGCGGAGGAGGAGCUGGAGGCGGAGGCGGCGGAGGAGGAAGAGUUGGAGGAGGUGGAGGAAGAGCUGGAGGCGGAGGCGGUGGCGGCGGGAGACAGGGAUAGGGUCUGGGGCUGGGGUGCGGGCGCACGGCUCCCUCUUGCGGCCCCUCGGCGCUGCGCAGGUCUGCACCAGCAAGAGACAGGGCGAAAUGCUGCAGCCCAACCCCUCCGAGCUGCAUUGUUUAUCAAACAGUCCACGCCAGAAGGGCCCCACUACAGCACAUGGUUCUGUGUGCUCCCGAGAAUAAAAUAUUUCCUUGUAACUGUAAAGCAAGAAAUCAACAGAGUAACCAUCUACCACAGAAGAUUCAAGAAAUGGUAAGUAGAGAUUUGUCUAAUUCACUUAAGAAAAUAAAUAUUGGCUGCUUUUAGUUCA
rnacentral:lncRNA from 1 species